rnacentral:misc_RNA from 1 species
GAUUAAGAACGUAUUGAAAUGCGAUAAGUAAUGUGAAUUGCAGAAUUCAGUGAAUCAUCGAAUCUUUGAACGCACAUUGCGCCCGUCAGUAUUCUGGCGGGCAUGCCUGUUCGAGCGUCAUUACGCCCCUCAAGUCCCCUGUGGACUUGGUGUUGGGGAUCGGCGAGGCUGGUUUUCCAGCACAGCCGUCCCUUAAAUUAAUUGGCGGUCUCGCCGUGGCCCUCCUCUGCGCAGUAGUAAAACACUCGCAACAGGAGCCCGGCGCGGUCCACUGCCGUAAAACCCCCCAACUUUUUAUAGUUGACCUCGAAUCAGGUAGGACUACCCGCUGAACUUAAGCAUAUCAAUAAGCGGAGGA